UCUCUUCAGUUAGACUGGUGGUCAGAACGGC
rnacentral:piRNA from 1 species